AUGAUUUUUAUACAAAUUACGAACAUAAGUAGGACAUUUUGAAUUUUAGAUGAAAAAAAAAAAAAAAAAAAAAAAAAAAAAUUGGGCUAGGCGCCGUCUAGGCGGGCUAGGCGGCCGCCUAGGCGGUCUAGGCGGACAAAAAAUCGGAUCUCCGAUUUUUCUCACCGAUUUGGACAAAAUCGCCGCGGUGCUCCUCCGAUCAGCGCC
rnacentral:lncRNA from 1 species